rnacentral:rRNA from 1 species
AACGAACGCUGGCGGCAGGCCUUAAACAUGCAAGUCAAACGGAGAUAUUCUUUCGGGAAUAUCUUAGUGGCAAACGGGUGAGUAACGCGUAGAUACCUACCCAAUAGUGGGGGAUAACCACGGGAAACUGUGGCUAAUACCGCAUACGCCCUACGGGGGAAAGCUUAAUGCGCUAUUGGAAGGGUCUGCGUUAGAUUAGGUAGUUGGUGAGGUAAUGGCUCACCAAGCCGACGAUCUAUAGCUGGUUUGAGAGGAUGAUCAGCCACACCGGAACUGAGACACGGUCCGGACUCCUACGGGAGGCAGCAGUUAGGAAUAUUGCGCAAUGGGGGAAACCCUGACGUAGCAUGCCGCGUGAGUGAUGAAGGCCCUAGGGUUGUAAAGCUCUUUCACUUGUGAAGAUGAUGACAGUAGCAAGAUAAGAAGCCCCGGCUAACUUCGUGCCAGCCGCCGCAGUAA